rnacentral:rRNA from 1 species
CCCAGACUCCUACGGGAGGCAGCAGUGGGGAAUAUUGCACAAUGGGGGGAACCCUGAUGCAGCGACGCCGCGUGAGUGAAGAAGUAUUUCGGUAUGUAAAGCUCCAUCAGCAGGGAAGAAAAUGACGGUACCUGACUAAGAAGCCCCGGCUAACUACGUGCCAGCAGCCGCGGUAAUACGUAGGGGGCAAGCGUUAUCCGGAUUUACUGGGUGUAAAGGGAGCGCAGACGGCUGUGCAAGUCUGGAGUGAAAGGCGGGGGCCCAACCCCCGGACUGCUCUGGAAACUGUAAAGCUGGAGUGCAGGAGAGGUAAGCGGAAUUCCUAGUGUAGCGGUGAAAUGCGUAGAUAUUAGGAGGAACACCAGUGGCGAAGGCGGCUUACUGGACUGCAACUGACGUUGAGGCUCGAAAGCGUGGGGAGCAAACAGGAUUAGAUACCCUUGUA